CCCUUAGAUGUUCCGGGCUGCACGCGCGCUACACUGAUGCAUUCAACGAGUCUACCUUGGCCGAGAGGCCUGGGCAACCUUUUAAACGUGCAUCGUGAUAGGGAUAGAUUAUUGCAAUUAUUAAUCUUGAACGAGGAAUUCCUAGUAAACGCAAAUCAUCAAUUUGCAUUGAUUACGUCCCUGCACUUUGUACACACCGCCCGUCGCACCUACCGAUUGAAUGGUCCGGUGAGGACUCGGGAUUUUUACCAGUUUCCUUCAUUGGGAAUUGGUGAGGAGAACUUGUCCAAACCUUAUCAUUUAGAGGAAGGUGAAGUCGUAACA
rnacentral:rRNA from 1 species